rnacentral:rRNA from 1 species
AACGAACGCUGGCGGCGUGCCUAACACAUGCAAGUCGCACGAGAAAGGUCUUCGGACCGAGUAAAGUGGCGGACGGGUGAGUAACGCAUGGAUAACCUGCCUUCGAGUGGGGGAUAACCCCGGGAAACCGGGGCUAAUACCGCAUGACAAGACCUGGGCUUCGGCCUGGGAUUUCAAAGCCGGCCUCUGCUUGCAAGCUGGCGCUCGAAGAGGGGUCCAUGUCCCAUUAGCUAGUUGGUGAGGUAACGGCUCACCAAGGCGACGAUGGGUAGCCGACCUGAGAGGGUGAUCGGCCACACUGGGACUGAGACACGGCCCAGACUCCUACGGGAGGCAGCAGUGGGGAAUCUUGCGCAAUGGGCGAAAGCCUGACGCAGCGACGCCGCGUGGAGGAUGAAGACCCUUGGGUCGUAAACUCCUGUCAGCUGGGAAGAAAGGUGCCUGGUGAACAUCCGGGCACCCUGACUGUACCAGCAGAGGAAGCCCCGGCUAACUCCGUGCC